CCUUGUUUGGGUGAACCAGUAUAAAUCUCUUGUGUUGUUCUCUGUUAAUUAUAGUUUUAUCUCUUAUUUAAAAAACAACACUUAAUUAAAAAGAUCCCUCUUCCAGUUAUCUGGUCAAACACAGAGGUUGACUACUUUACGCAGAUCCCUCAUCCAGUUAUCUGGUCAACUAUCUGAGGUUAUAUUCAUUGCUUUAAAUCCUUAUAUUUGUUCAAGUAUUACUUAUCAUAUUUAUCCAGUUAUCUGGUCACUUACUUGCUUAUCAACUUAUCCAGUUAUCUGGUCACUUACUUGUUUAUCAAUAUAUUCAGUUAUCUGGUCAUUUACUUGCGUAUCAAUAUAUCCAGUUAUCUGGUCAUUUACUCUACAAUACAAUUUGUGUUUCCAAUAUAAUUUAGUAUUCAUAUACUAUAGUUGUGUGUAAAACACUAUCAAGCAAGUUGACUCAGUAUUCAUAUACUGUAGUAAGCUUCGAAGAGUAAUACUUACAUUAUUAUAUCAAUCAAAAUCAUAAUAUCCUUAUAUCAUUACUGUUCAACCAUUUGUUUAUUAAGCAUUUACAGGUAAUUCCGCAAUCAACCUGUAUAAAUCGAAAAGAGGCUAUUACCCCCCUUAUAGCCUCGGAUCACGAUCCAACACAAAUAUCUGUAUAAAAGUCACCUGACUUAACCACCAGGGGUGGGGUGAGCGGGGGAGGUGAGUUAAAUUUAAUUACUAAUAACCGCAGUUAGGGAAAAAGCCAUUAGGCAUUUUUUAAGUCAAAUAAUAGUUAGAUUAGAAAACAAAUAGAGGAUAGUAAAGGUAAUUUAACCAAUGAAUUAUGAAAUGGGGGGAAAAUAUGGAAAAAUUGCAAGUUAUACAUGGUGGGUUAUGAGAGAGAUGCAUGUGGGUAAAAAUGAGAUGAGAAUAAAGACAAAAAUAAAAAUGUUAAACACAAUUAAAAAUAUCUGCACAUGGGUUAAAAGGAGGGGAAGGAGAGGCAUGCACCUGGGUAAAAAUAAGUUGGGGAUAAAAACAAAAAUAAAAAUACUAUUUGGAAUUAAAAAUGUUUGCACAUGGGCGAAAAAGAGGGCUAGGAAUAAAACAAAAUACAUGCACGUGGGGGUGGGAGGUCAAACAAAGUAUAUAUUCUUGCACAAGGGUAGGAAAUAUCAAGCAAGGAAAAAGAAUGGGAGUUGGCCCACGUGCAUACAUAAAAUGUGCAAUCUAAGCACAUAGACCACCAGUAGUCCUUACAUGCACGCACGUAGGGAGGGGCAAGCAAGGAAAAAUAGUAGAAACUGGCCUAAUCUCGAAAGGGCCAAAAUCCACAAAAUUAAAAAUUUACUAUGCAUGCACGUGAGGGGGGAAAUCAUGUAUGAAAAAUUUAAUAAAAUACUAAUGAUAUACAUAGACAAGCAAGUGGGGGGAGCCGUUAGAAAUUAGAGUUGACCAAGACCAAACCCAACACAAAAAUAGAGAGGGGCCUAGUCCAAGGGUAGCUAACCAAUUAUACCCAAUUUUGACUAUUACCAAUAGUCAAAAUAGCAAAGCACUGAUUUUGACUAUUAGUCAAAAUAACCAACAACCAUUAAUUUGACCGGUCAAAAUAGCAAAUCCCAGAUCAGGACCAGUCAAAAUACCCAAAUACCGAUUUUGACCAACCACCAAGCCGUGAUUUUGACCAGGGGUCAAAUUAGUCAACCCCAAAGUUUGACCAAAAGUCAAAAUUGCCGCAAUAACCCGAGUCUCACGAAAAAACAAAAUAGUCAAACCCCGAUCUUGACGAACACCUCAUAUUUGACCAAAAGUCAAAAUCCUCGGAUUUUAACCAAAAGUCGAAAUAGUGACAACCACACCUGGAUGGACGGCCAAGGGAUACCAGUAACAGACGACAAAGUGGGAAGGUGGUUAAACCACCCAAAGUUUAACCAAGAUUAACCAAGAAUGUCGUUUGAAAGCUGAAAUGUCUACGGACUAAACAGCAACAUAAGGAAGGAUGAGGUAAAAAGGUUUGUUAAGAAGUAUAAGUUGGACAUCUUUGGGUUAUACGAGAUCAAGAUUAUGAAACGUAACUUCACGCACUGUAGCAAGAUAUUCGGUCAGAAUUUCUCAGUGAUAUCGAACAGGACCGAUGACACAAACCAAAAGCCGAACUCUAUCUGGUUAAUUAGUAUGGGAUGUGAGGAACUGGGAGAUCGAGAGCUCCAUUCUGGACGAACACUAUAUACACUGCGUAGCAAAGAACAAAGGGGGUUUUAUAGUUCAUGUAACUUUUGUGCAUGGGGCAUCAGAGAGCAACGAGAGGGAAGAAACAUGGAAGGAGCUAGUUAGACUCAGCCACAACAUUAGGGGGUCAUGGAUCAUGCUGGGGGACUUCAACGAGGUUAGGAAUAGGGAAGACAGGAUAGGAGAGCAUGCUACAGCCUCCUUGGCAUGCAUAGGCAGAUACAAUCAAGCGAUAGAUGGAGCAGGUCUGAGAGAGAUUCCUAUCCAAGGAAACCCUACGACCUGGACAAACAAAAGGGUGGGCGAAUUCAGGAUCAACAGUAAAAAUGACAAAGAAUUUAGGAACUUUGAGUUCUUCAACCUUUGGCCCACAGUGAACCUGGACAGUCACUCGGGUGGCACGUCUGACCACCGUAGUUUGACUAUUGACCUAAGGGUAGUUGAAGAGGGGAAGAGGCCUUUCAGAUUCACAAACUCAUGGCUUAGGAAGGAAGAGUUGGAGGGGGUAGUCAGGGAUGCUUGGCAAAUCGAGGUUUGGGGAACCCCGAUGUACAUCUUCACUAGGAGGCUGAAUAAUGUGAAGAGGAUACUCAAGAGAUGGAAGGCAUCAUAGGACCAAGCAGGGAAGAGAAUCGCCCAAGCAGAGGCAGAAAUCCAGAAGAACUAGGACUUGUUGGAGGCGAGUCCACUUGAUGAGGAGAUCCAGGUGAAACUGGAUGGUUGCCUUAAGGAUCUAGAAGCCCUUCUCCAGGUGCAGGAGGAAGAUGCGAGGCAAAGGAGUAGGGAAAAUUGGUUGCGACUGGGGGAUAAGAACAUGAAAUUCUUUGCGGCCAUGACAAGGCAAAAACAAACCCUAAACUCCCUGUACAAAAUGCUAGGGCCGAAUGGCAGGGUGGUGGUAUCUAGGAGUGAAAUGGAGGCGACAAAAACGUUGGACCACUUCCAGAUACUAUUUGCUGAGGGGAGGAAGCCUUAAGUACCGAAACCAGAAACUUCGUUAAAAAGGUUACGCCCGAACAAAAUGCGGAAUUAGAGAGGAUCCCAACGUAUGACGAGAUUAAGAAAGAAGUCAUGGCGCUAAACCCAGACAAAAGUCCUGGUCCAGACGGUUUCAACGGAGCCUUCUUUAAGGCCUUUUGGAGCAUUAUAGACAAGGACCUAGUCAAGGCCAUACAAUCUAUCUUCCUAGGAGAACCCCUCCUGAGACGGGUAAACGCUACUUUCGUCACAUUGGUCCCGAAAACCAAGAGCCCUACAAGAUUGGAUCAGUUUAGGCCCAUAUCUUGCAUAAACACAACGUAUAAGAUCCUCUCAAAGGUCUUAACGAACAGGGUGGUCCCAGUUGCAGAUACCUUGAUUGACAACAAUCAAACUGCCUUCCUCCCAGGUAGGCUGAUAGGGGAUAAUUAUCUGCUAGCAACGGAAAUGGUUACGGGGUUUGGUAGGGCAAGUGGGGGAGCAAACGCAGCCAUAAAAGUGGACCUUGCAAAGGCAUUUGAUACGUGCAGCUGGCAGGCGAUAGAGAACACUCUUAGGGACAUGGAUUUCAGUGAAAUGAUCAUCAGGAUCAUAAUGAUGUGUAUAACCACAUCAUCGUUAUCUUUCCUGGUGAAUGAGCCGUCGACACCACAAAUACGUACCAAAGAGAGGAAUUAGACAAGGAGACCCCCUCUCCCCGUACAUAUUCGCUCUCUUAAUGCAAAACCUGACCAUUCUCAUUAAUGAGAAAGUGGAGAGGAGGCAAAUAAGCACCUUCAAGAAGCAUAAUGUGAUGGGGAUAUCACACUUGAUCUAUGCGGAUGAUCUUUUGAUCUUCUGCAAAACCAUGGAGGAUUCCUUCAAAUCAAUCGACGGAGUGUUUAAAGUCUUCGAAUCUAGGACAGGUCUGAGUGUAAAUGACCCGAAGAGUGAGGUGUUCUUUUCAAAUUCCACAAAGAACAAUGACCAUUUACUGACUCACUUAAGGUUCAAGGAAGGGACCUUCCCAACGACGUAUCUAGGACUGCCUCUAUCACCUAGGAUCCUUUACCCAAAGGACUGUGCCCCCCUAGUUGAGAGAGUCAACAAGAUGGUAGAGGGGUGGAAAACAAGGCUGUUAUCACAAGCGGGCAAGGUGCAGCUCUAUCAUUGGGGCAUAAUGGGCAUAUUCAACUUCUGGAACAUGUCCAGCAGACUUCCAGCGGAUACCCUAGAUGAAUUGAAGUCGAUAUCAUACAGGUAUAUGUGGGGGGGGGAACAAGAUUUCCAGUGGGAACAGAUGACACUACCUAAAAAGGAGGGUGGAUUAGGUCUGAGAUGCUUCAGAGAGUCCGCUGAAGCAGCAAGGAUGACAAGGUUGGGUAUGAUAUGGUCGGCCGAGGACUCGAUUUGGGCAUUAUGGAUGAGGGGGAGAUAUGUGGGUGGGCGUUCCCUUAGGGACAUAGAGAAGCAUCCAAACUUGGGCUCAUCCUUAUGGGCUGAAAUAAUUGACAAGAAGGAUGUAAUAGAGAAGACACUAAAGUGUGAGGCGGAUUACAGUUGCACCUGGGUGGGAAAAGGAGCGUCUCUCAUAUUUAAAAAUGUCUGGGACUCCAUUAGGAACACAAAGCCAAUAGACCACUACUGGGAGGGGGUAUGGACGACCAGUAUAAGGAAAUUCAGCAUAACAUUAUGGAGGGUCAGGUGGUCCAAAAUAUCUAUGAGGGCUGAUUGGGCGGGUAGGAUGGGAGGGGAGAACACAGAUUGCAUCUUAUGUGGGGGGCCAUGGGAAUCUCAGGACCAUGUCUUCUUUAAGUGCAAGUUCUCCAAGGAUCUGUGGAUAUAUAUUUUAAAUGCAAAACCUAUUUUGAUUACGUAUGCAUGUCUAUCUUUAGAACAGGUCAUGGCGCAAGCAAACGCAAGAACGAAGAACGAAGAACUCACCAUGUUGGGGGUUGACGUGGUCGUACACGGCAGCAAUAGUGUGGGGUAUCUGGACCGAGAGGAACAGGAGAGUACAUGAGGACAGGCGCACGAGUCCACAAGAGAUAGGGAGGAGAAUAAUCUAGGACAUAACAAAGACCUUCAAGCCGGACAGGUACAAGGCAAAAGGAACCCGCAGGGAGCAGAGGUUGAUGGACACAUGGAUUGGCGCCCAGCCGGCGCAAACGUGAAACUUACUUAUUCUUAAUAUUUGCUAUUGAGUCUGUAAUUUUAUUUUCAGUAGGAAAUUGUAUUAAGUGUAACUUGUGAACUAAGGCCUAUGGUGGGAUGGGGUUCAACUAAAAAUAGAACACCAUCUCACAGAAAGCUAUGAAAGUAUGAUUUGGUAAAUAGAAUGACCUGAUAAGUCAUAUCCAUAGAGAGCCCCAUCCCCUAGAGGAAGGGUUGUCUUUGUCAGUAGAAACGAUAUGUGGAAUCACUUACGUAUAGUGGACCGAAAGGUGAUGGCAGAGUUUUCCCUUGUCAAAGGAAAAGAUAUCUUGGGCACACCAGGGUUUUUACACUCCCCAUUGCCCUAGGCCCACUAUGUAAGAACGAUGGGACAUAGAUCGUUCUAGGAAACAUCGAGUCAGUUCCCCAAAGGUUGUGAAGGCCCAAACGAUCGUAAGAUCCGAGGUUAGAACAAUGCGGAGGGUGUGGAGUGGAUCGCAUGUGAUCACACUCCUUUUUUUGUUUCGGAAUCUAUAUUAUCAGUUGGUUUUGUCUCAAAAAAAAAAUUGGCUGCCACAAUUCGGCUGCCACAAGCCACUUUCCACUUCCCAAGUCCAUGUGAGUAGUGAGAGAGGGCGAUUUGGUGGGUGAUUUUUGGGCGAUUUGUCUUGGAACUUGUGAAGGUGGUUUUGAGGAAAACAACCUUGUUUGGUUUGCUGAUUUGACGAUUUUUCUUGGGAUUUUGCUGAUCACCUUGGUGUUUCCUUGGUGAUGGCCUCAUCGGAGGCUAAGGAUGGUGAUUCCAGCGGAUGGGUGAAGUUGCUCCUUCAAGGUCAAAAAGCUGUCGGCGAAGGUAAGUCAGUUCGGUUAAGUAAUUUUAAUAGUUCUGUUGAUGGUUUAAAUAAUUAUGUUAAAAGUUAUAGUAGUACAAAUUCAGGUAGUAAGUCGGUAGGAUAUAUUAGGACUAAUGGUCCGGUUGGAGUGAAGAAAUAUAUACCUAAGACCCGGAGGGAAGAGCUGUCUUGGGACUUUCUGGCCAAUCAAUUCACACCAAAUUUUAUCCAGAGGAGAAGGUUCUAUCCCAGGACAGAGGAGGAGGACAGAGCUCACCGGAAUACCUUGCUGGCCGGUGAUAGACUACUCCCCCACCAAGAAGCUCUAUUGAAAGGGAUAGACGUGAGAGAGUGAGGAGAGGAGAAGGGAGCGAGAAUGAUAUAAGCAUCUUAGAAUCUCAGAUUGGGCAGGAGAGGGAAAGGAAGGACAUGGCCAGGGAGGAAGCUUGGAAAAAUAAACCAAGCUUUGCCUCGCUUUUGAAACCGGCAGAGGUGAACGUUGAUCCAUUAAUUUUGGACCUUGCUUACAUAAAGCCGGUGGAGAAUGAUGGAAAGAUAGGUGCUCUGUUGGUAGGAAACCAGUUAGAAAAGCUAGAGAAAAAAUAUAAGGAAACGAUUGUAGCAAGGAGGAUGCCCAUUGAUAGAAUUGAUCCAAACUAUGCUAUUCAAUUUGUUAAAGUCAAUUGGGGUAUCCGCGGCAAUGAAUUUAGAAUUCAGAUGAGAAACCAUGGGGUUUUCUUCAUCAUUUUCAAUCGUCAAGAGGAUUAUGAUAAGGUUAAGAAGGGUGGAGAUAUUUGGAUGGGAGGAGUAUACACUUUAAUAAGAAGUUGGAAGGAAGGAAAGGGGAUUGGGAAAUAAAGUAUUGAAAGCCUACCAAUUUGGGUAAGCUUUCCAAGAUUUCCAAAGCAUUUAUGGGAUACGCCUUCCUUCUCUUCAAUUGGUAGUGUGCUCGGUAUCCCUCUUAGGGUUGAUGCACACACCGCGAAAGCACCAAACGAUGAUGGAGCUAGAUUGUUGGUGAAGAUGGAUGCAUCGGGGGACUUCCCUUGUGAGUUUCCAAUCUUUAUCCAAGAGGACGAUUCACUGGUGGUGGAAGAAAUUGUGCAUGUUCACUAUGCUCGGCCACCCCCAAAGUGUAUUCGUUGUAAAAAUUUUGGCCAUUGGACUAGCCAAUGCAUCUCCCUACAAAGAGUCGUCGGAGAAGGUAACCAAUCUUCAAAGAUUGGGCUGGAGAAGAAGGGUGAACAGGAGACCAAAGAAUCUUAUCCAUCCGCCCACAAUAAAAUACAAAACAAGGAAAAAAGACCAAACAAAGAAAAAUUUGGUAUGAAUAGUGGACGGGUUGGGAGAAACAAGGAAAAUGGAUCAAUGAAUAGUGAUAAUUUUGGGAUGGUGGGUAAGGAUAACCCUAGUGAUCUAUCGAAUCUAGGGUUUGUAGGGGAGAGUUUUGGUGGGAAAGGGGUUGGGGAUGACUUAAGGGUGAAGAAAGCAACUAUGGUGGGCGAUAAACUAGAUAAGGUUGCCCUAACCAAUCCAACUAACCCUAGGGUAACCACAAAGGAGUGGGUUACCAAGGCAACCCAUACCUCCAAUAUGGAUGUAGAUCCACCAUCUCAUUCAAAUUUGGGGGACCCAAAUAAGGAUCCAACAAGUAAAAAGGGAGGAUCCGAUAAAGAUCCAAUUAUAAUAAUUGGAGGAUUCGACAAAGUGCUAUCCGGAUCCUACAUGGAAAUUACCGGAUCUUAGAGUGAAAAUGUCGGAUCCAUAAUCAGGUCAGGAGGAAACCCUAUUAAGGAUCCGUUAAUAGAUCCGGAUAGUGAGGUGGAGGGGUCAAGGGUAGACGACUCCAACUUUGUGGGUAAAGUGGACAAAAGACAAGGACACGUGUCUAAGGAUCUUGGAGAGCAGUCCAAGAACCCCGCAAGGGUGGGAGAGCAACCCAAGAAUCUAGGAGAGCAAGGUAAGAGUGAGCCCAGGGGGAGUGCUCAUAGGGAGGAAGAAUUACGUGAGGGUGAGGGUGAAUCACCUGGCCAAUGGGCAGAUUCAAUUAGCUCCCCAGGGGUAAAUAUAGAGAACAACUCACCAUUAUCCGGGGCACAUGAAGAGCCACGGAGAGCUGGUAAGGAAAGUAUGGGGUCCAGCUGGACCCACCUAGACCCUUCAAGAGAUACUCUAGAAAAUCCAAGAAGGGUGGGUGGUUCUAUUGCCAGGGCAGGACAGAGCAAAUAAACCCAGGAUCCAGGGCUGGAACUAAUUCGGGUGCUAAUUCCAGCUCGGGUGCUAGUUCGGGAACCAAUUCUGGCCCCUCGGGGAGCUCGCGAGUGAGUUCGAGAACCAAUAAUGGCUCUUCGGGGAGCUCGCGAGCCAGUUCUGGCUCUUCAUCGAGCUCGCGAGCCAAUAAUGGACCCUCGAGUUCCUCAGGAGCUAGCACUGGCUCUUCGUCGAGCUUGGGAGCUAGUUCAAAAUCUGGGAGUAGCUCGGGGCCAGGAUCAAGGAUUAGUAGUGACCCGGAGAAUAGUUCUCGAGCUAACUCUAGGUCUAAGGUCAGUCCCGAGAACAACACCGGGGACAAUAGGAUAGUCGAGGAGACUACCCUACAAUCACAUGAGGUAACCCUAGAAACUAAGGACAAGGUCCUAGACCAACCAAUGGAGGUUGACUUGACCCGGGAUAGCGACCCGGAUAUGAACUCGGGAAUAAACCUGACCUCUGACCCGACAAACCCGAUAAGUAGCCAAAUGGAGGAGUCAAAUGGGCAAUCUGUGACCCGGGAGUGCGACCCGAUUGGAGAAAAGACUCAAGACCCGGUUGAGAAUGGAAUCUCGAACCCGACAGAGGGUAGAGAAUUGUACCAGGUAGAAUGGCCAUACGGGUCUAAUAAUGAUGAAGAGAUGAGUGAUAUAAACAACUGGGAUAAGGACAAGGAUUUUAGGGUGGAUUUGUCAAACCAAGAUGUACACCAACAUGUCUCCCAAAAGGAAUGGCCUGACAGAUGGAGGGCAUGUACAGAGGACUUGGUAAUGGGAAAAGUCCUAAAGGUAGAAGAACCUAUACAGGGGGGAUCAAUGACUGAGGACGACAACAGACCUACUAGUCAAUUGAUUAGGACCCCCUGGGAUGAGACUAAACCUGGGAUGCAGAUGAGACAAGAGAGGUCUUACAAGGAGUUUGCAGAGGACCUCCUAAGAAAGGCUAAGAAUAGGGAGGUCAACAAGGAGAGGGGUAAGGGGAAGUUCCGUGGACCUCCGAAGGAAGAAAAUGUUAAAUACCCCACGAGCCCAUGCGACUACAUAGAAUCUGGGGACAGAGGUAAGAGAACCCCGGAUGGACAGUGUAGAGGGGAUGUGAAGAGGAGGAAGGCAAUGGCUGUGCUUGUAACAGAGGCUCUAGUGGAACUAGAGCGCUUUGAUGAUAUGUCUCACUGAGGCUUAUUAAUACUACUCACGUAGGAUAUAUUAAUAAUUAUAUAUUAAAUGUCUAUUGCUACAUGGAAUAUUAGGGGAUUAAAAGGAAGGACAAUGGAAGUUAAAAAGCAUAAGUUGGAUCUAUUUGGGCUAAUAGAGACCAACGUCAGAUGGCUUGACUUUCAAAAUAAAAGUAGGAUCUUUGGGAGUUCAAUGGAGAUUAUAACUAAUAACCCUGAAACCUCUAGGUACACCACAGACUCAAUUUGGAUGUGCUAUGAUAAGAAUCUGUGGGAGGUCUCAAGAGUCAUUAAAAACAAGCAAUUCAUCCAUGCAAAAAUGGUGAAUAAAGGUAGUUUGACAUUGAAUUUCACUAUAGUCUAUGGGAAUAAGGACUAUAGGAUAAGAGAGGAACUCUGGGCGGAGUUGAUCUCCCUAUAUAACCAAACUAAUGGGCCAUGGCUACUUAUGGGGAAUUUCAAUGGUAUCCGGAGCGCUAGUGAGAGGGUUGGUAUUCACGCCUCAUAUAGACAAAGCACAAUUGAUCUCUUUAACAAUUUUCUGUCUACAAUUGGUGCAAAGGAGAUUGAUAACAGAGGGGGCAGUACGACUUGGUGCAAUGGUAGAUUAGGGGAACAUAGGAUAGAUAGCAAGCUGGACCAUGGUUUUGGAAAUAUGGAUUUCCAUAACCUGUGGCCGGAAGUCAAAAUAGACUAUCAUACCAAUGGUACCUCUGAUCACUUCGGUCUCAGACUAGAACUAAUGGUCCCCCAGGCCAGGAAGACACCUUUUAGGUUCACGAACUCCUGGUUAAGGAGGGAAGUAAUUAGGGAAGUGGUAGAGGAGGCAUGGAACAUAAGAGUUCGGGGAAAGUCGAUGUAUAAGUUCACAAAGAAACUGUCUAACAUCAAAAGGAUUUUAAAACUGUGGGUAAAGUCUUGGCUAAGGAAUGAUGAGGAAAUCAAGAUGAGGGAAGGAGAGUUGGUUAGGCUAAAUAGAAGCAUACAAACGGAUAGGAACAAUGCCAACCUCCAGUGGGAUAUUGCUCUCUGCAAGGAUAGAAUUGAGACAUUUUUAAAAAUUGAGGAGGAGGAUGUUAGGCAGAGAAGCAGAGCAUAUUGGCUUACAUUAGGGGACAUAAAUACUAAGUUUUUCUCAGCCAUGACUAAGGACAGACAAUCCCUGAACUCGAUAUAUAAAAUUAUUGAUGGGGGGGGAAGAGCGUUAGUAUCCAGAAUAGAGAUGGAAAAGAAGUGUAUGACGCACUUCGAGAAUCUGUUUAGAGAGGCACCAAUAGAUUCUGAGGUGAAAUUUAAUUUUCAAAGAAAGAUCACUGAUGAACAAAAUAUUGAACUGAUGAGGGUGCCUACAUAUGAUGAGGUUAGGAAUGUUGUAUCCCACUUAAACCAAGAUAAGAGCCCGGGGCCUGAUGGUUUCGAUGGGGCUUUUUUCAAAGCAUUCUGGGACAUAAUAUGAAAUGACUUGGUAAGGGCUAUCCAAUCAAUAUUUUUAGGAGACAACCUGUUGAGACAGAUUAAUGACACAUUUGUGACCUUAGUUUCUAAGGUCAAGAAUGAGUCUUGUCUCAACCAAUUUAGGCCUAUCUCAUGUGUCAACACAACCUACAACAUUUUAUCAAAAUUGAUAACUAAUAGGCUUGUAGAGGCCAUUAAGGAAGUAAUUAGUCCAAACCAAACUGCCUUCCUCCCAGGAAGAUUAAUAGGGGACAACUUCCUUUUGGCAACAGAAAUGGUAACUGACUUUGGUAAGAGGUCUGGUGGGGCUAAUGCAGCCAUCAAGAUUGACUUGGCAAAGGCUUUUGACACAUGUAGUUGGUUUCAACACAGAAUGGAUAAGGUUAAUAAUGAUGUUGGUUAGCACCACUUCACUAGCUUUUCUGGUGAAUGGAAGCCCAACAAAACAAGUCUGGCCAAAGAGGGGUCUAAGACAGGGUGAUCCAUUAUCACCAUACCUGUUCACUCUGCUAAUGCAAAAUUUCACUAACCUGAUGGGCGAGAGAAUAGAUAGAGGUGAAAUUAUUAUAUUUAAGAAAAAUGGUGCUGCAGGAGUCUCGCACUUGGUUUAUGCAGAUGACCUACUGAUAUUCUGUAAAGCAAAGAAGAGUUCUUUUGAGGGGAUUGUGAGAAUGUUAAAGGAUUUCAAGAACUCUAUAGGGUUAGAGGUCAGUAACGGGAAGAGUGAAAUCUUCUUCUCUGGGGCAACCAAAAAUAAGCAAGAACUGUUAAGCACCCUCCAAUUUCGGCAGGGUGAAUUCCCUGUGAAGUACUUAGGUUUGCCUUUGUUACCAAGGAUGUUAUAUAAAAAGGACUGUGCAGGGCUAGUCAAAUCAGUUGAGGCGAUGAUAGCUGGAUGGAAGUGUAAGCUUCUGUCACAUGCGGGGAGGGUCCAGCUGUACCACUGGGGAGUUAUGGGAAUUUUCAAUUUUUGAAACUUCUCAGUUAGGCUGCCUAUAGACACGCUGGAAGACCUGAGAAGGCUUCCAUAUAAUUUCAUCUGGAAUGGAAAGAGAGAUUUUUCUUGGAAGGACAUGGUCCUACCAAAGGAGGAGGGAGGUUUGGGUUUGAGAUGCUUUAGGGAAUCGGUCAUUUCAAGGGCAAUAAAGAGAUUAAAUCGCAUUUGGACCUGUGAUAAUUCUAUUUGGUCUUGUUGGAUGAGAAACAGGUACAUUAAGGGCAGGGUGUUAAAUGAAAUACACAAAAGGCCUAGUGCAGACUCAGCUGGCUGGUUGGAAUUAUUGGAAACAGGAGGUAAAUACACUAAUGUUUUUAAAUGUAAUGCGAAUUAUUGUUAUCUGUGGAAUGGUGCAGGUGGAUCUUUCUUUUACAGGAAUGCAUGUAAUUCUAUCAGAUCUAGAGGUGCAGAGACAGAGCAGGCAAAAGGUAUAUGGGCCUCUGGGAUAAUGAAGCAUGACAUGCUGCUAUGGCGGACAAAAUGGAGAAGAAUCACUACAAAUGCAGAAAUUGAGGACAGGAUUGGCAUAGAACACAAAGAAUGUUGGUUGUGUGGGCAUCCGUUUGAAACACAAUCACACUUAUUCUACAGAUGCGAGUUUGCUGGUAAGGUAUGGGAAAAGCUAAGAGAGGUCUUCCCAGAUAUAAAUGAUGCAAGGGAUAUUACACUGGGACAGGUUAUGAGAAGGGCAGACAAAAGGUCAGCAGGUUCCAAAUGCUGGGCCUUCACAUGGUCAAUAGUUGCUGCUAUAACUUGGGCAUUAUGGAUGGAGAGAAACAAGAGGAAAUUUGAGGAUAAAUAUACUAUUGCUAGUGAAAUAGCAAGGAGAAUUGUUUCUGACACAAUAAUUGGUGCAAAGCUGAGCAGGUACAAAAAGAGGGGCACAAGAAGGGAGGAGAACCUCUUCGAGCAAUGGAGUCAAUGGCACUCACAAAAUGAAUAAGGUAAUCUUAAUAAAUUAUGUUUGUGGGUGGGAAUGGGGUAAGGGGUUUUUUGAGAGGGAAGGAUUGAGUGCCAGACUUUGCAUUGGGUGGGUAGCCACUGAAAGUGUGGGAGGGAGUCGAGUGCCAACAAUUAAAUCACAGGUACAUAUGACUACGACCAGAUCAAUCAAGAAAGGAGUGCCACCAAAUAUGAUAAGGGGCGGGGUCACCAAAAGAGUGAGGAAAGAGUGCCACUAAAUAUAAUGGGGAUGGGCCACCGAAAGAUUGAGAGGUGAGGUAAAAUUUGAGACAAGGUAGAUGGAAAGAAGGACCAGGCGAACCCCUGAAUGUAGAUAUUGAUACUACAUGUUCUGAGUGAGUUUAGAGUGCCAGACAUAAUGAGGGUUGGGUCACCAGAAUAUGAGUGAGGAAAGAGAGCCAGAAUAUAUAAUGGGGAAUGCAGAGUGGUAUGCAGGUAAAGGAAUUGCAAGAUUAUGGAAAGGAAAGGGAGACCAGCAUGAUUUAAUUGUGAUAAGAAAAAGGUUUUCAAGGCGCGGGAGGGAAAGCAUGGCCGGACAGGACGUACUGAAGUUCGGUUGGGGAGAUGGAAGGUUUAAUGUAUUGUUAUGUAUAGUCGAAUUGUAAAUAUUUAAUAAAUUAUGUUGGGCAGUCUCUAGAGUUGGUGUGUGCUUGUAACAGCAAGGUUUAGAGACUUGAGGACGGGUGGCUUGUCACCUGGGUCUCGUUUUUGGUUAAAAUCUAUAUAUUGCCAAGUAUGGAUUUACUCAAAAAAAAAAAAUUGGCUGCCACAAUUCAUUUCUCUCUUUUUUCCUAAGUUUCAAUUCUUGGAGCUCCAAGAAAAUAUUUGAGAUUUUCAAGAACCCCAAGGAGAGCAAUCUAGCGAAUUUGGAGGAAGGUGAUUAGAUUUUACGUUCUCUGUUUUAGUUUGGCGAAUUUAGAGGAUGCCGAUUAUCCAUCGAUAGUGAAAAUCUUUGCAAAGGAUGAUGAUGACAUCGAAGAGUUACAUUCGAUUGAAGUGAAGUAUGUAGAUCCGCCUCCUAGGUGCUUCUAUUGCAAAUGUUAUGGUCAUUGGAGGUCAACAUGCUCGAGAAAAAAAAAGCUAAGGAGGUUUUUGCUGAUCAAGAUCCUCAAGAUGAAGAAAACAUUGUGGAUCACCAUACAUGUGAUGUAGAUCAUCAAACCCAAGAAGUGUUUGUGAGCAAAGUUAAACUCUGAUACCAUACAUGUGAUGUAGAUCAUCAAACCCAAGAAGUAGUUGUUAGCAAAGUUGAGCAAAGUUAAAAGUUACAGGCCUCAUCAGGACAUUCGCAUCAGAAUUUAAGCUCUGAUACCAUGUUGGAUGAAUCAAGGUUGGAUGAUGAUUGAGAGUGAUCCUUGGAGAGAAAAUGAAACAAGAUGAUAUGAUUUUGGACAAACAAAGAGUGAAUUGUGUUGUCUCUUAUGAUGUGUAUUUAUACACUUGAUUGAGUAACAAACUCCUAACAAAGUGAGUGGAGUUUGUCACUCAAGGAUAAAAAAUAUAAUUUAAAGUUAAUAAAGAAUAUUAAUAUAACUAACUAAUAUUCCAAUAGUUUGCUCCUUUGAAUUCUGAUUUCAUGGCGAUGAACUCAAUUAAAUUAUUUGGUCAUAAAAUUGGGACGGUUUGUGAUAACUUACAGACUUAUUCCCAAAAUCAUCUUGUUAGUGAUCAAACUUCACAUUCCAAUAUAUGUCUGAUACGACGAUCAAGCCAAAUGAAACAAAUUCCCUGAUAUUGAGACUUAGCCGACCUAAUCUCUGUUGUUAAGCUAAUUAGGGUAAAACUAACCCUAAUUAGCUUUUCAACCAAAUGCGAUAACCAAUUGUGUGAAUCAACGGUUCCUCUCGUACUAGGUUGAAUUACUAUCGCAACACGAUCAUCAGUAGGGUAAAGCUAACCUGUCUCACGACGGUCUAAACCCUGCUCACGUUCCCUAUUGGUGGGUGAACAAUCCAACACUUGGUGAAUUCUUCUUCACAAUGAUAGGAAGAGCCGACAUUGAAGGAUCAAAAAGCAACGUCGCUAUGAACGCUUGGCUGCCACAAUUCGCAGGUCUAGGAGUACGGCAGCACGGAGGGAGAGAGAAGAUUCCAGAAAAAUUCAAAAUCAGCUUAUUUUAUUAUUAAAUUAUAAUAUUUUCUAUUAUUUUUCUUGCUUUUUAGGAUUAAACGCUACUAUUCACUGUCCUUUCUUGCUGCAGAUACUCGUACUUCUUCUCCAUGGAGAACAUCUCCAUGGAGGUCGAUGAAGGUGGAGUCUGGACGGAGGUUAACAGGAGGAACAAGGGAAGGUCUGGAGGGGAUUUUAAUCCGGUGGUUGGGACGCCGGCCAGAGGAGGAAGAGGUGGUCGCAGUCGCGGGGGCGGGAGGAGCUCUGUGCUGAAAACGCGAGGACGACGACAAGCUACGAACCCAUUCGAGGCUCUGACGCCGGAGGAGAAGGAGCGGGAAAUCAAUAGGCAUAAGUGGGCNNNNNNNNNNNNNNNNNNNNNNNNNNNNNNNNNNNNNNNNNNNNNNNNNNNNNNNNNNNNNNNNNNNNNNNNNNNNNNNNNNNNNNNNNNNNNNNNNNNNNNNNNNNNNNNNNNNNNNNNNNNNNNNNNNNNNNNNNNNNNNNNNNNNNNNNNNNNNNNNNNNNNNNNNNNNNNNNNNNNNNNNNNNNNNNNNNNNNNNNNNNNNNNNNNNNNNNNNNNNNNNNNNNNNNNNNNNNNNNNNNNNNNNNNNNNNNNNNNNNNNNNNNNNNNNNNNNNNNNNNNNNNNNNNNNNNNNNNNNNNNNNNNNNNNNNNNNNNNNNNNNNNNNNNNNNNNNNNNNNNNNNNNNNNNNNNNNNNNNNNNNNNNNNNNNNNNNNNNNNNNNNNNNNNNNNNNNNNNNNNNNNNNNNNNNNNNNNNNNNNNNNNNNNNNNNNNNNNNNNNNNNNNNNNNNNNNNNNNNNNNNNNNNNNNNNNNNNNNNNNNNNNNNNNNNNNNNNNNNNNNNNNNNNNNNNNNNNNNNNNNNNNNNNNNNNNNNNNNNNNNNNNNNNNNNNNNNNNNNNNNNNNNNNNNNNNNNNNNNNNNNNNNNNNNNNNNNNNNNNNNNNNNNNNNNNNNNNNNNNNNNNNNNNNNNNNNNNNNAAGGCUACGACGGAGGACGACGAGUGCAGGAGGGAACGGAUUCGGACAGGAAUGGGUUCACCGGAGGACGUAACUUUGCUGGAACUACAGCGCCGUGCACACGCGGAGGUAAGACGUAAUUCAAUGCUUGCAGGCGAUGGAACACUGUCGGGAACGAAGGACAAGUCGGAGAUUGAGAGAAGAGCAAGGGUGAGAGCCGGGAGAGCCACUGCCGAAGACAUCGCGGAGAUGGAAAAACAGAGAAUCGCAAGACGACAAUUUGUGCAGAGGGCAAGGCUGGUCGACGAUGGAUGCCUUGGCCCUACUGGAGACAACAUUGAACUCCAGAGACGAGCUAGAGUCAGGGAAGGCACCGCGACACCAGAAGAUAUCACGACCAUUGAGAACCAGCGUCAGGCAGAGAUGAAACAGAGGAUCGCAAACUUUAAGAACCCAUCGGUGCACAAAUCCUUUGCAUCUGUGUUGAAGCCAGCACCGGUGCUUCCAGAAGGAGUUACAACUGGGCUGACCUAUACGAAGCCUACAGAACGAAAUGGGAGGCCGGGGGCACUACUGGGAGGGGAAUUAAUUAAGAAAUUGGAAAAGACGAGGUUCGCCGGAACGCUACUGGUCCGGCGACUGGUUGACGAGAAGAUAGACCCACGUUUCGCGAGGAACUUCAUCAAACAGGUAUGGGGAAUCAGUGGGGACCAAUUCGAGGUGCAGGUGAGGCAAUCAGGAGUCCUACUAAUCCAAUUCAGGCGGGGGGAAGACUACAUGACAGUGAAGGACGCCGGCGACACUUGGAUGGAUGGGGUGUAUACGAUAGUGAGGAAGUGGACUGAAGGGAAGGCUAUGGAAAACGCGAAGGUCAAAAUGCUGCCGAUCUGGGUAGGGCUACCGGAAUUCCCUGCGCACAUGUGGUGCCAAGAGGUUUUUUCCGCAAUCGGAAGUGUGUUGGGUUCGCCGGUAAAAACAGAUGCACACACGGCUAAAGGUCCAAACCCCAACGGUGCGAAAUUGCUGGUAAUUAUGGAGGCAACAGGGAGCUUCCCAACGGAGGUCCCAAUUUACAUCCAAGGGGACGACGGGGUGGAGUCGGAGGAAUCUUGCAGAGUCAACUAUUUGAAAAUGCCACCGAUCUGCAAAAAAUGCAAUUCCUUCGGGCACCAAGCGGAGCGUUGCAGAUUCGUGGAGGAGGUACCGGACGAAGCAGUCGGUGAUCAGGAAGGGGCAACGAGCAAAAAUUCGACGAGCAGCGGAGGGAACAGCGAGGAAUCGAACGACGCAAACCGCUCUGAAAUUCCCGCGGAGAACGACUUGGCUGGGGAAGACAGUAGACGUGGAGAGGACGUGGCACUAAAAUCCAAUCAGGAGGAGACAACUAUAGCUGACGUGGCGAUGGGAACAAAUAGAAGAAGGCCAAAUCUUGAGGACGUGGACACAAGGACCCUCAUAAAGGAACUACAGAAUCGGAUACUAAUUGAUCUAAUCGAAUCCGGGCAGGCGGGUAAGCAAUCGGGCGGGGAAGACCCAUAUAGCGAGAUUGGGGAAAAAAGCGGAAGUGUCUACCAGUCAAUAAGUGGGAAACUCUGCGGACCCGGGUCGGGUGGGCAAUUCGAACUAAAGGACGAUGGAGAAGAAACAGAAGAUUUGGGAAACAGGGGACCUCAGAGCAAGAAAGGAAAUGAGGAAGACGAUGUACCAGGGGAGGAGCAUACAAUCAAUUGCCAGCGGAGGAAGAAGAAAAAAUAUCACGCUAUCAAGGACAAGCUGCAGAGAGAAGAUUCCUCACACUGUACGACGGUUCAAACGCCAACGGAAAGAACGAGCGGGGAAAAAAACCAGGGUGGAACCCAAUGUGAAACAGCGCAAGUCACCUCUGGUAAAAAGAGAACACGCGGUACGGAGGACAUGGGAAGAGAAGACGUCGACGGUAUUGCAGAAUUCGCAGAGUUGGGCAGUACGUCGACGGACUUGAUCGUUAUACCAGUCGACGGUGACCUGGCAAAGCACGGAAGGAAGAAGAACGGUGAGGAAGACGAGGGCAGUGGAGUCAACUAUAUAUUAAGCGGGGGGCCCUUAAAUAAAUUUCACAAAUCAAGCCUGAAAAGUCUGACCCAAUUCUGCAAUUCGAAAAUUCCAGGUCAGGUGCGUCUAAAUAAAAACUAUGGUCUGGACCAAUUGAGAUCAAUCAAGCUAUGGGACCAGUCAAGAUCAGUCAAACUAUGGGAUCAAUCAAGCUAUGGAUCAGUUAAUUGAGAAAAUAAGGUUCAGCCAAGAUCAGUCAAUUGAGGAAAUAAGGUUCAGCCAAGACCAAGUAACUACUGCAAGCGAAAUGCCAAGUUUAACCCUGAGUCAACGAGUGGUCCAAGGGGCAGAACAGACAUUGCUGGCUGGAAAGGAAGACCCGAUAAUCUUCAAAGCGCAAACCAAAUCCAAAGAGGGGAAAUCCGACCCGACCCGACCCAAAUCCAGAAAGGGGGAAGGAAUGAAAUCGAAAAGGGGAAGCGGUAGAAACCCGACCCGACCGGAGACCCGAAUAGCUGAAAUAAAAAUUAAAAAAAAACCGGAGUCUUUGCCGGCAGGAGGAGGAAGGUGCAGCACGGACGUAAGGAACCAAUCUCCGAUGACCACCAGGACGGCAGCCAGCAACAAGAGAGUAGUCCAAUCUGGGGAUGCGGAGUCAAUGAUCCAAGACGCAUUGGAAUUGACCACGCCGGUAUCAAAUUUGGUGAAGAGAAAUAGAUCGCCAAGAAUCCCCAGUGGUGGGUUGCGGAAGAAACACAGGGAGAGCGACGAAACAGAGGAAAUAAUUGCAGAGGAUGAACGCGAGGAAGAACAACAGCAGAUUGAGAACCUCGGGGAAGUAACUUCGCUACAACAGAAUGGUGAAUUAACUCCCAAUCCGGAAGACGGUCAAUUCAAACAGGAUCGAGCCGGGAAAGCUCCGGGAACCCAUACGUCGACGUCGAGAGGUAAGAAACUGUCUAAAAAUAAAUCCAAACAGAAAGCAAGGAGAGAAGCGGAGCUAGAAGCGGGGGCAUCUGCGGAGAAGGAGAUAUCGAUGAAGACCAGAGAGGACUAUCUUCUCAAUCCUGAACGACCCACGAACUGCAUAUCGGACAGACUCCCGGGAGCUCUAAAUUUCGCGGAGGAGGAUGGGAACGAGGAGGUCUCCGAUGGGGAAUAUGAGAUAGGCAGAAUUAUAUGGGACAAGCCGUCUGGAGAUGCGACUACGGGAGAGGAGCAAAACCAGGGUGAGAGUGGCCAGCUGGAGGAGCUCCGACGAGACCCAACCACCGUCUAAAAGCUCUGUUCCGACUUAACCACCAGGGGUGGGGUGAGUGGGGGAGGUGAGAUAAAUUAAAUAAAUUUAAUUUAAGUUGAAAUUAGGAGAGAGUGAUUAGUCAAUUAAAGUUAAAAAUUAAUCUGCUGAUUAGGUAAACAAAUUGAGGAUAAGGAAAAUAAUUUAACCAAUGACUUAUGAAAGGGGGAGAGAAUAUGGGAAAAUUGCAUGUUAUGGUUGGGCGGGUAUGAGUGAGAUGCAUGUGGAUAAGAGUGAUAAAAUAAAAACAAAAAGGCUAAAUAAAAUUAAAAAAGUCUGCACAUGGGCCAAAAUGAGGGGGGGAAAUGUAUGCACGUGGGCAAAAACCAAUUGGGUAUAAAAACAAAAAUAAAAAUGAGAAAAUGUAUGCACGUGGGCAAAAACAAAUAUGGGAAAAUUGCAUGUUAUGGUUGGGUGGGUAUGAGUGAGAUGCAUGUGGAUAAGAGUGAUAAAAUAAAAACAAAAAGGCUAAAUAAAAUUAAAAAAGUUUGCACAUGGGCCAAAAUGAGGGGGAGAAAAUGUAUGCACGUGGGCAAAAAGCAAUUGGGUACAAUAACAAGAAUAAAAAUGAAAAUUACAAUUAAAAAUCCUUGCAUGUGGGUUUUAGCAAUGCCAUAUAGGCACGUGGGUAGGAAGAGACAGCAAAAUAAAAAUGCUAGAAAUUGGCCCAAUUGCACCAAGUGGGCAAUGGUCCACAAAAUUAAAAAUUCACCAUACACGCACGUGGGGGUAGAAAUCAUGAAUGAAGAAUUGAAUAAAAAACAUUUGACAUGCAUAGAUAAGCAAGUGGGGGGCAUAUAGAAAUCCAUUAUAGUGUGAAUGGACCUAACCAACUAUUUAGAGUUGGUCAAGACCAUACCCCACACGAAAAUGGAGAUGGGCCUAAUCCAAGGGGGGAUGGAAAUGCAAAGGGGCAAAGGCAAAAACUUAGGAGACCUAAUCAAUUAAGAAAAACUCAGAGUAGGGCCAAAAGUCAAAAUUGUCAAACGAAUUUGACCAAUAACCAAACAACUAUUUUGCCUAAGAGCAAGCAAUACUGGAUUGGGAUGUUGUCCAAAAAGGCUCCCGAUAGUCAAAAUGGACAAUCCCUUACCGCCCAAGCCCCCAGAGUUUGACCAAAAGUCAAAAUCAGCCAAUUUUGACCAAAAGUCAAAAUCAGCCAAUUUUGACCAAAAGUCAAAAUCAACCAAUUUUGACCAAUAGUCAAAAUUGGAGCUUGGGCAAGAGGCAAACCCGGAAUGAUACUACCCAUCAGACAGUCACCCUGUAAGGACCAGCCAAGGAGCUGAUAGCUACCCGACAAGGACCCGAUAGUCACCCGACCCGCCAAGGACUCGGUAGUGACCCGAAUCACCAAGGACCCGUUAGCAAACCUGAGAAAAGGUCAUCGAUACCACACCAAACCAUAGGCACACUAACAAAUCCGACACAGACUCGGUGAACAAAAAGGCACCAAAAAUAAAAUAAAAAUGUCGUUUGGGAGCUGGAAUGUGUAUGGGCUAAAUAGUGACCUAAGGAAGAAUGCGGUAAAGAAAUUUGUGAAAAAACACAAGUUAGACCUCUUUGGACUAUAUGAAACGAAAAUCAUGAGAAAGAACUUCCAACAUAUCAGUAAGAUAUUUGGACAGAAAUUCUCAGUAAUAUCAAACAGAGAACAGUCUGACCCCAGGGCAGACUCUAUCUGGAUGGUAUGGGACACUGGUCUUUGGGACAUAGAAGACCCAAUUCUGCACGACCACUACAUACAUUGUUUUGCAAAAAACAAGGGGGGGUUUAAUAUAAACAUAACCAUGGUGUAUGCAUCGUCAGAUUACCAGGUGAGGGAGGAAACAUGGAGGGAUCUAAAAACACUAAGUAGAUCCAUUAGGGGCCCAUGGAUGGUCCUUGGCGAUUUCAAUGAGGUUAGGAACAGGGAGGAUAGGAUUGGAAAGCAUGCGGUUGUAAAAAUGCCCCACAUAAGACAAUUUAACCAAGAUCUAAACGAAGCAUGCUUAAAAGAAAUCAGUAUAAAUGGCAACCCAACAACUUGGCACAAUAAAAGACACGGAGAACAUAGGGUUUGCAGUAGAAUAGACAAGGGCUUUGGGAAUACUGAACUGUUUGAUCUAUGGCCGGACAUCAGAUUGGAUAGCCACUCAGGUGGAUCAUCUGAUCACCGUAGUCUAACCAUGGACCUUAGGACGGUUCAGGACAAGAAGAAGCCCUUUAGAUUCACCAACUCUUGGCUAAGGAAGGAAGAACUGAGGGGGAUAGUACAGGAGGCAUGGCAGAUAGAUGUCUGGGGCACGCCGAUGUACAUUUUCACAAAGAAACUCAACAACGUCAAGAGGGUACUGAAGAAAUGGAAGACAUCAGAGGAUCAACAAAGGAAGAUGAUGGCUUAGCUGGAAGAGGAGGUCAACAAAGAUGAAAGUUUGCUUCAACAAACACCGUUUGAUGAAGCAAUUCAUGAUAGGUUAGAAGCCACAAAUAGGAAGAUAGAUGCCCUAACUAAAACGCAAUAGGAAAAUGCUAGACAAAGGAGUAGAGCCUACUAGUUGCACCUAGGGGAUAAGAAUACUAAGUUCUUUGCAGCCAUGACCAAACAGAGAAAAGCAUUAAAUUCUCUAUACAGGAUGCUAGGGCCAAAUGGGAGGGUAAUGGUGUCUAGGAGUGAGAUGGAGGAGAAGACCCUAGCACAUUUUAAGAACCUGUUUGCUGAAGGGGAGGAGAGCAUCUCUAGGGAAACUAGGAAUUUUACAAAGAGAGUAACACCACAACAGAACCUAGACCUAGAGCAAAUCCCUACCUAUGAAGAGGUAAAAAAGGUUGUAAUGAGCCUAAAUCCAGAUAAGAGCCCUGGUCCAGAUGGGUUUAAUGGAGCCUUCUUUAGGGCUUUUUGGACCAUAAUGGACAAGGAUCUAGUAAAAGCAAUACAAUCAAUUUUCGUAGGGGACCCACUCCUAAGGCAAGUGAACUCCACCUUUGUGACCUUAAUACCAAAAAUCAAAAAUCCUACUAGAUUGGAUCAAUUCAGACCAAUAUCAUGUAUUAAUACAACAUAUAAGAUCCUAUCUAAGGUCAUCACAAAUAGGGUGGUUCCAGUAGUAGACACCAUAAUAGACAACAACCAAACAGCCUUCCUCCCAGGAAGGCUAAUUGGGGACAAUUACCUACUAGCAACAGAGAUGGUGACAGGUUUUGGGAGGGGAAAUGGAGGGGCCAAUGCCGCUAUAAAGGUUGACCUAGCAAAGGCCUUUGACACAGUGAGCUGGGAGGCGAUAGAGGGUACAAUGGUAGACCUAGGAUUCAGCCAGAAGAUUGUGAGGAUAAUAAUGAUGUGCAUCACCACAUCAUCUCUGUCCUUCCUUGUAAAUGGCUCACCCACACCACAAAUCCAACCCAGGAGGGGAAUCAGACAAGGUGACCCCUUAUCACCCUACAUAUUUGCUCUAAUAAUGCAGAAUCUAACCAUUCUAAUCAAUGAGCGGGUAGCUAAGAAACAGAUUAGUACCUUUAAGAAACACAAUGUGAUGGGUAUAUCACACCUCAUCUAUGCAGACGACCUCCUUAUCUUUUGCAAAGCUAGGGAGGAGUCGUUCAAGUCGGUAAACGAGGUAUUCAGACUGUUUGAGGAAAGAACAGGGCUGAAGGUGAGUGAGCCAAAAAGUGAAGUCUUCUUCUCGAACUCCACCAAAGAGAAGGAAACCUUGCUAACCCAUCUAAAAUUCAAGGAGGGAGAGUUCCCCACAACCUACUUAGGUUUACCUUUGUCUCCUAGAAUACUAUACCAAAAGGACUGUGCACCUCUGAUAGAUAGGGUGAAUGGGAUGGUAGAGGGAUGGAAAACAAGACUACUAUCCCAUGCGGGCAGAGUUCAAUUAUACCAUUGGGGGAUAAUGGGAAUUUUUAAUUUUUGGAACAUGUCUAGCAGGCUCCCGGUGGAAACACUAAAGAAGCUACAAUCCAUUAUAUAUAGGUACAUAUGGAAUGGGAAACAGGAUAUGUCUUGGGCACAAAUGGUGCUACCCAAGAACGAGGGUGGGCUAGGACUAAGGAGCUAUCAUGAGUCGGCUGAGGCAGCCAGACUAACAAGAUUAGGAAGGAUAUGGUCAUCCCAAGACUCCAUAUGGGCCUCAUGGAUGAGGGGUAGAUACGUAGGUGGGAGGGGACUACUGAGCAUUAGUAAGCACCCAAGUUUAGACUCAGCUUUAUGGGCUGAAAUAAUUGACUAUAAAAAUGAAAUAGUGAAAACCUUAAGAUGUGAUCCCAACUACGAUUGUACUUGGGAGGGCAAAGGGACUUCGCUAACCUAUAAAAAUGCUUGGGACUCCGUGAGGGAAACAGAGGAGGUAGACAAUUACUGGGAGGGAAUUUGGACAACUAGUGUGAGAAAAUUCAGUAUGACACUUUGGAGAGCUAGAUGGUCCAAAAUCUCUAUGAGGGCAGAUUGGGCGGGUAGAAUGGGGGGAGAUGCCACGGAUUGCAUUUUAUGUGGGGGACCAUGGGAGUCACAAGACCAUGUGUUCUUUAAAUGCAAAUUCUCUAAGGACUUGUGGAAUUAUAUAUUAUCUGCGAAACCCCGUUUGAUUACAUGUGCAGGUCUAUCUUUAAAACAGGUUAUGGAUGAAGCACAAGCAAGAACAAAAAACUCAAUAUGCUGGGGAAUGACUUGGGCUUACAUUGCUGCAGUGGUGUGGGGGAUAUGGACAGAAAGGAACAGGAGGGUUCAUGAGGAUAGACGGACCAGGCCACAAGAGAUUGGGAGAAGACUAGUGGAAGAUAUCACCUCAACAUUCAUGCCGAGCAGGUACAAGGCAAUAGGGACAACUCAGGAACAAAGGAUGGCACAAGGCUGGAAUUGCGGGGGGGGAAAUGCCCCAAGUUAAUUGCUGUUUUAUUUUUGGUGUAUUUAAUUAAACUGCUUGUUGCAACUUAAAUUUGGUAGGAACAAAUAACAUGUAAUUGGUAGGCUAGCGAUAGGGGAGGGUUCAAUUAAAAAUAGAACCCAAACCUAUCAAUGGCAAAGGUCUAGCAUGUAUGGUACAUGGACUGAUCUAAAAAUCAUGUCCAUUAGGAACCCCUGGCCCAAUAGGGACAAGGAUCUUCCUAAGUCAUAGUAGAAACGAUAUGUGGAAUCACUUACAAAUUAGUGGACCGAAAGGUGAUGGCAGAGUUUUCCCUUGGAAAAGGAAAAGAGGCCAUGGGCACACCAGGGUUUUUACACUCCCCAUUGUCCAAGGCCCACUAUGUGAGAACGAUGAGGCAUAGAUCGUUAUAGGAACCAUUGAGUCAGUCCCCAAAGGCUUGGAAGAUUAGGCGAUCGUAAGAUCAAAUAAUUGGAUAAGCGCGGAGGGCGUGAGGUGGACCGUCUGUGGUCGCACUUCUUUUUUGUUAAGAUCUUUUAUAUUAUCAGUGAUUUUAACUCAAAAAAAAUUGGCUGCCACAAUUCGCCACAAGCCCAUGAACGCUUGGCUGCCACAAGCCCAUGUGAGAGUGAGAUAGAGGCGAUUGGGAGGGCGAUUAAAGGGCGAUCGUGUGUUCUUGGUUUCUUGCAGGUCUAGGAGUACGGCAGCACGGAGGGAGAGAGAAGAUUCCAGAGAAAUUUCAAAAUCAGGAUAUUUUACUAUUAAAUAUAUACUAUUUUCUAUUGUUUUUUAAAUUUUUAGGAUUAAACAUCACUGUUCAUUGUCCUCUUUCGCUGCAGGACACUCGUACUUCUUCUCCAUGGAGAACAUCUCCAUGGAGGUCGAUAAAGGCGGAGUUUGGACGGAGGUUAAUAGAAGGAACAAGGGAAGGUCUGGAGGGGAUUUUAAUCCGGUAGUUGGGACGCCGGCCAGAGGAGGAAGAGGUGGUCGCAGUCGCAGGGGCGGGAGGAGCUCUGUGCUGAAAACGCGAGGACGACGACAAGUUACGAACCCAUUCGAGGCUCUGACGCCGGAGGAGAAGGAGCGGGAAAUCAAUAGGCACAAGUGGGCGAGGCUCGCGGGGGACGGCUUCCUGCCGAAGGCUACGACGGAGGACGACGCUUGCAGGAGGGAACGGAUUCGGACAGGGAUGGGUUCACCGGAAGACGUAACUCUGCUGGAACUACAGCGCCGUGUACAUGCGGAGGUAAGACGCAACUCAAUGCUUGCAGGCGAUGGAACACUGUCGGGAACGAAAGACCAGUCGGAGAUUGAGAGAAGAGCAAGGGCGAGAGCCGGGAAAGCCACUGCCGAAGACAUCGCGGAGUUGGAAAAACAGAGGAUCGCAAGACGACAAUACGUGCAGAGGGCAAGGCUGGUUGACGAUGGAUGCCUUGGCCCUACUGGAGACAAUAUCGAAUUGCGGAGGCGAGCCAGAGUCAGGGAAGGCACCGCGAUACCAGAAGAUAUGACGGCCAUUGAGAACCAGCGUCGGGCAGCGAUGAUACAGAGGAUCGCGAACUUUAAGAACCCAUCGGUGCACAAAUCUUUCGCAUCUGUGUUGAAGCAGGCACCGGUGCUUCCAGAAGGAGUUACAACUGGACUGACCUACACGAAGCCUGCAGAACGAAAUGGGAGGACGGGGGCAUUACUGGGAGGGGAAUUAAUUAAGAAAUUGGAGAAGACGAGGUUCGCCGGAACGCUGCUGGUCCGGCGACUGGUUGACGAGAAGAUAUACCCACGCUUCGCGAGAAAUUUCAUCAAACAGGUAUGGGGAAUUAGUGGGGACCAAUUCGAGGUGCAGGUGAGGCAGUCCGGAGUGCUACUAAUCCAAUUCAGGCGGGGGGGAGACUACACGACAGUGAAGGACGCCGGCGACACUUGGAUGGAUGGGGUGUAUACGAUAGUGAGGAAAUGGACUGAAGGGAAGGCUAUGGAAAACGCGAAGGUCAAAACAUUGCCGAUUUGGGUAGGGUUACCGGAAUUCCCUGCGCAUAUGUGGUGCCAAGAGGUCUUCUCCACAAUCGGAAGUGUGUUGGGUUCGCCGGUAAAAACAGACGCACAUACGGCUAAAGGUUCAAACCCCAAUGGUGCAAAGUUACUGGUAAUUAUGGAGGCAACAGGGAGCUUCCCAACGGAAGUCCCAAUUUACAUUCAAGGGGACGGUGGGGUGGAGUCGGAGGAAACUUGCAGAGUCAACUAUCUGAAAAUGCCGCCGAUCUGCAAAAAGUGCAAUUCCUUCGUCCAUCAGGCGGAGCGUUGCAGAUUCGAGGAAGAGGCACCGGACGAAGUAGUCGGUGACCAGGAAGGGGCAAGGAGCAAAAAUCCGACGAUUGACGGAGAGAACAGCGAGAAAUCGAACGACGCAAACCGCUCUGAAACUCCCGCGAAGAACGACUCGGCUGGAGAAGACAGUCGACGUGGAGACGACGUGGCACAAAAACCCAAUCGGGAGGAGACAACUAAUGCUGAUGUGGCGAUGGGAACAAAUAGAAGAAGGCCAAAUCUUGAUGACGUGGACACAAGGGUCCUCAUAAAGGAGCUACAGAACCGGAUAUUAACAGAGCUGAUCGAAUCCGGGCAGGCGGAUAAGCAAGCGGGCGGGGAAGAUCCAUAUAGCGAGAUUGGGGAAGAAAAUGGAAGUAUAUACCAAUCAAUAUGUGGAAAAGUCAACAUGGGCAUAACCGGACCCGGGUCGGGCGGGCAAAUCGAACUAAAGGAAACCCAAUUAGAGAACGAUGGAGAAGAAACAGAGGAUUUAAGAAACAGGGCACUUCAGAGCAAGAAGGGGAAGGAGGAAGAUGAUGUUCCAGGGGAAGACCGUACAAUGAAUUGCCAGCGGAGGAGGAAGAAAAAGUUUCACGCUAGCAAGGACAAGCUGCAGAGAGAAGAUUCUCCACACUGUACGAUGGUGCAAACGCUAGCGGAAAGGAGGAGCGGGAUAGAAAACCAGGGUGGAACCCAACGUGAAACAGUGCAAGUCACCUCUGGGAAAAAGAGAACACGCGGUACGGAGGAUAUGGGAAGAGAGGACGUCGACGAUAAUGCAGAAUUCGUAGAGAUGGACAGUACAUCGACGGAUUUGAUCGUUAUACCAGUCGACGGUGACCUGGCAAAAUACGGAAGGAAGAAGAACGGUGAGGAAGACGAGUGCAGUGGAGUCAAUUAUUUAUUAAGGGGGGGGGGCUCUUAAAUAAAUUUCACAUGCCAGGCCUGAUCAGUCUGAACCAAUUCGGCAAAUCGAAAAUUCCAGGUCAGGUGCGUCUAAAUAAACACAUUUAUGGUCUGGACCAAUUGAGAUCAAUUAAGCUCUGGGGUGAGAAAAUAAGGUUCAGCCAAGAUCAAGUAACUACUGCAAGUGAAAUGCCAAGACUAACCCCGAGUCAACGAGUGGACCAAGGGGCAGAACAGACAAAAUUAGUUGGAAAGGAGGACCCGAUAACGUUUAAAGCGCAACCCAAAUCCAAAGAGGGGAAACUCAGAAAGGGGGAAGGAUUGAAAUCGAAAAGGGGAAGCGGUAGGAACCCGACCCGACCGGAGACCCGAAUAGCUGAACUUAAAAUUAAAAAGAAAACAGAGAUAUUGCCGGCAAGCGGAGGAAGGUACAGCACAGACUUAAGGAACCAGUCGCCGAUGACCACCAGGGCGGCGGCCAGCAACAAGAAAGUAGUGCAAACCGAGGACGCGUUGUCAAUGAUCCAAGACGCAUUGGAAUUGUCCACGCCGGUAACCAAUUUGGUGAAGAGAAAUAGAUCGCCAAGAAUCCCCAGUGGUGGGUUGCGGAAGAAACACAGGGAGAGCGACGAAACAGAGGAAAUAAUGGCGGAGGAUGAGCACGAGGGAGAACAACACCAGAUUGAGAAGCUCGGGGAAGUGAUCUCGCUACAGCAGAAUGGUGAAUUAACACCCAAUCGGGAAAACAGUCAAUUAAGCAAGGAUACAGAGCAACGGCAGGAUCGAUCUGGGAAAGCUCCAGGAACCCAUACGUCGACUUCGAGAGGUAAAAAAUUAUCUAAAAAUAAAUCCAAACAGAAAGCAAGGAGAGAAGUGGAGCUAGAAGCUGGGGCAUCUGCGGAGAAGGAGAUAUCGAUGAAGACCAGAGAAGACUAUCUGCUCAAUCCUGAACGACUCACGAACUGCAUAUCGGACAGACUGUCGGGAGCUCUAGAUUUUGCGGAGGAAGUCGGGAAUGAUGACGUCUCUGAUGGGGAAUAUGAGAUAGGCAGAAUUGUAUGGGACAAGCUGCCGGGAGAUGCGAUUACGAGAGAGGAGCAAAUUCAGGGUGAUAGUGGCCAGCUGGAGGAGUUCCGGCGAGAUCCAACCACCGUCUAAAAGCUCUGUUCCGACUUAACCACCAGGGGUGGGGUGAGUGGGGGAGGUGAGAUAAAUUAAAUAAAUUUAAUUAAGCUGAAAUUAGGAGAGAGUGAUUAGUCAAAUUAAAGUUAAUUAAUAAUCUGCUGAUUAGGUAAGCAAAUAGAGGUUAGUAAAAAUAAUUUAACCAAUGACUUACGAAAUGGGGGGAAAAUAUGGGAAAAUUGCAUGCUAUGAUUGGGGGGGGUAUGAGAGAGAUGCUUGUGGAUAAGAAUGAUAAAAUAAAAACAAAAAUAAAAAGGCUAAAUACAAUUAAAAAAGUCUGCACAUGGGCCAAAAUGAGGGGGGAGAAAAGGUAUGCACGUGGGCAAAAACCAAUUGGGUAAAAAAACAAUAAUAAGAAUAAAAACUGCAAUUAAAAAUCCUUGCACGUGGGUUUUAGUAAUGGUAUACAAGCACGUGGGUAGGGAGGGGCAACCAAAGAAAAAUGCUAGAAACUGGCCCAAUUGCACCAAAUGGGCAAUGGUCCACAAAAUUAAAAAUUCACUAUACAUGAACGUGGGGGUGGAAACCAUAAACGAAGAAUUGAAUAAAAAACAUUUGAUAUUCCUAGAUAAGCAAGUGGGGUGCAUAGAGAAAUCCAUUAUAGUGUGAAUGGGUCUAACCAACUCUUCAGAGUUGGGCAAGACCAAACCCCACACAAAAAUGGAGAUGGGCCUAAUCCAAGGGGGGAUGGAAAUGCAAGGGGGCAAAGGCAAAAACUUAGGAGACCUAACCAAAUUAGCAGAACUCAGAAUUUGGCCAAAAGUCAAAAUUGGCCGAAUUUGACUAGAAGUCAAACGAAUUUGACCAAUAAUCAAACAACAAUUUUGCCUAAGAGUCAGCGAUAUUGGAGAUGGGGUUUGUGCACUAUGGCUCCCGACAGUCAAAAUGGACAAUCCCUUACCACCCAAAUUCCCCAGAGUUUGAUCAAAAGUCAAAAUCAACCAAUUUUGGCCAAUAGUCAAAAUCAACUGAUUUUGACCAAUAGUCAAAAUUGGAGCUUGGGCAAGAGGCAAACCCGGGAUGAUACUACCCACCCGGUAGUGACCCGACAACGACCCAAUAGUGACCCGACUGGGACCCGUUAGCCAACCAGAACAAAAAAAAUGGUCAUCGAUACCACACCAAACCCUAGGCACACUAACAGACCCGACACAGACCCGAUAAACAAAAAGGCACCAAAAAUAAAAUAAAUAAAAUAAAAUAAAAACAAUAAAUGUCGUUUGGGAGCUGGAAUGUGUAUGGGCUGAAUAGUGACCUAAGGAAGAAUGCGGUAAAGAAGUUUGUGAAAAAACACAAGUUGGACCUCUUUGGACUUUAUGAAACUAAAAUCAUGAAGAAGAACUUCCAACAUAUCAGUAAGAUAUUUGGACAGAAAUUUUCGGUAAUAUCAAACAGAGAACAAUCUGACCCUAGGGCAGACUCUAUCUGGAUGGUAUGGGACACUGGUCUUUGGGACAUAGAAGAUCCAAUUCUACACGACCACUACAUACAUUGUUUUGCAAAAAACAAAGGGGGGUUCAAUAUAAACAUAACCAUGGUGUAUGCAUCGUCAGAUUACCAGGUGAGGGAGGAAACAUGGAGGGACCUAAAAACACUAAGUAGAGCCAUUAGGGGCCCAUGGAUUGUCCUUGGCGAUUUUAAUGAGGUUAGGAAUAGGGAAGAUAGGAUUGGAAAGCAUGCGGUUGUAAAAAUGCCCCACAUAAGACAAUUUAAUAAAGACCUAAAUGAAGCAUGCUUAAAAGAAAUUAUUAUAAAUGGCAACCCAACAACCUGGCAUAAUAAAAGACAUGGAGAACAUAGGGUCUGCAGUAGAAUAGACAAGGGCUUUGGAAAUACUGAACUGUUUGAUCUAUGGCCGGACAUCAGACUGGAUAGCCACUCAGGUGGAUCAUCCGAUCACCGUAGUCUAACCAUGGACCUUAGGACGGUGCAGGAGAAGAAGAAGCCCUUUAGAUUCACCAACUUAUGGUUAAGGAAGGAAGAACUGAAGGGGAUAGUACAAGAGGCAUGGCAGAUAGAUGUCUGGGGCACGCCGAUGUACAUUUUCACAAAGAAACUCAACAACGUCAAGAGGGUCCUGAAGAAAUGGAAGACAUCAGAGGACCAACAAAGGAAGAUGAUGGCUCAACUAGAGGAGGAGGUCAACAAGGAUGAAAGCUUGCUUCAACAAACACCGUUUGAUGAAGCAAUCCAUGAUAGGGUAGAAGCCACCAAUAGGAAGAUAGACGCCCUAACUAAAACACAAGAGGAAAACGCUAGACAAAGGAGUAGAGCCUACUGGUUGCAUCUAGGGGAUAAGAAUACUAAGUUCUUUGCAGCCAUGACCAAACAGAGAAAAGUACUAAACUCUCUAUAUAGGAUGUUAGGGCCAAAUGGGAGGGUAAUGGUGUCUAGGAGUGAAAUGGAGGAGAAGACCCUAGCACACUUUAAGAACCUGUUUGCUGAAGGGGAGGAGAGCAUCUCUAGGGAAACUAGGAACUUUACUAAAAGAGUAACACCACAACAGAACCUAGACCUAGAGCAAACCCCUACCUAUGAAGAGGUAAAAAAGGUUGUAAUGAGCUUAAAUCCAGACAAGAGCCCUGGCCCAGAUGGGUUUAAUGGAGCCUUCUUUAGGGCCUUUUGGACCAUAAUGGACAAGGAUCUUGUCAAAGCAAUACAAUCAAUUUUCGUAGGGGACCCACUCCUAAGGCAAGUCAACUCUACCUUUGUGACCUUAAUACCAAAAAUUAAAAACCCGACUAGAUUGGAUCAAUUCAUACCAAUAUCAUGUAUCAAUACAACAUAUAAGAUCCUAUCUAAGGUCAUCACAAAUAGGGUGGUUCCAGUGGUAGACACCAUAAUAGACAACAACCAAACAGCCUUCCUCCCAGGAAGGCUGAUUGGGGACAACUACCUACUAGCAACAGAGAUGGUGGCAGGUUUUGGGAGGGGAAAUGGAGGGGCCAAUGCUGCUAUAAAGGUUGACCUAGCAAAGGCCUUUUACACAGUGAGUUGGGAGGCAAUAGAGGGUACAAUGGUAGAUCUAGGAUUCAGCCAGAAGAUUGUGAGGAUAAUAAUUGAUGAAGCACGGAAUCUGCUACCAGUAGGCUCGCGGGGUUGCGAGGAGGGCCGGAGGCUUUGGAGUCCACGACGCGCGCUCUACGUCAAUGUACCUGCAGAAGAGGAGGGGAAUCGGCGACUCACGUGGGAGUAGGCGAUUCGGGCUCCUUAGUUUGCUCUGGUUGGAGUGUGUGUUGUCAAGAUGAGUUGAGGGUAGAGGUCCACCAAGGACCCCUUUUAUAGGGUCCUGGGGGACGUUUUCCCCAUUCAUUAGCGUGGGGCCCACCCCAUUAAGGUAUCCUAUUAAGGAAUGCCUUAAUGGCGAGGGUCCGCUCAAGUAACGGCUGGGAGUCGGCGAUUCAGGUGUGGGAAUCGCCGAUCCAGAGGUUCAAUCGCCGACUCCCCAUGAGCCUAGUGGCAGCCUACCAGAACUGUCCACAAGGCCUAGAGUUAGCGAUUCACCCCUGGAGUCGGCGACUUGGUAGUCCCAAUCGGCGACUCCCAAGUGUUAACUUGGGCUCUUGACGUAGACACGUGCUCCGCACCGUGGAAGCCUUUCCGGGGGUCCGGCAUAUAGCGACGGAACCCUAUUCCUUGUUUGAAGGGCGUUGCUGGGAGUGACUGACGUAAUCAGGCAUGUCUCACCAAUAAUGAUGUGCAUCACCACAUCAUCUCUGUCCUUCCUUGUAAAUGGCUCACCCACACCACAAAUCCAACCCAAGAGGGGAAUCAGACAAGGUGAUCCCCUCUCACCUUACAUAUUUGCUCUAAUAAUGCAGAAUCUAACCAUCCUAAUCAAUGAGCGGGUAGCUAAGAAGCAAAUUAGUACCUUUAAGAAACAUAAUGUGAUGGGUAUAUCACACCUCAUAUAUGCAGACGACCUCCUAAUCUUUUGCAAAGCUAGGGAGGAGUCAUUCAAGUCGGUGAAUGAAGUAUUCAGAGUGUUUGAGGAAAGAACAGGGCUGAAGGUGAGUGAGCCAAAGAGUGAAGUCUUCUUCUCGAACUCCACCAGAGAAAGGAAACUCUACUAACUCACCUAAAAUUCAAGGAGGGAGAGUUCCCCACAACCUACCUAGGGUUACCUCUGUCUCCUAGAAUACUUUACCAGAAAGAUUGUGCACCGCUGAUAGAAAGGGUGAAUGGGAUGGUAGAGGGAUGGAAAACAAGACUACUAUCCCAUGCGGGCAGAGUUCAAUUAUACCAUUGGGGGAUAAUGAGAAUUUUUAAUUUUUGGAACAUGUCUAGCAGGCUCCCGGUGGAAACACUAAAGGAGCUACAAUCCAUAACAUAUAGAUACAUAUGGAAUGGAAAACAGAAUAUGUCUUGGGCACAAAUGGUGCUACCCAAGAAGGAGGGUGGGCUAGGACUAAGGAGCUACCAUGAGUCGGCUGAGGCAGCCAGACUAACAAGAUUAGGAAGGAUAUGGUCAUCCCAAGACUCCAUAUGGGCAUCAUGGAUGAGGGGUAGAUAUGUAGGUGGGAGGGGACUACUGAGCAUUGGUAAGCACCCUAGUUUAGAUUCAGCCUUAUGGGCUGAGAUAAUGGACUAUAAAAACGAAAUAGUGAAAACCCUAAAAUGUGAUCCCAACUACGAGUGUACUUGGGAGGGCAAAGGGACUUCGCUAACCUAUAAAAAUGCUUGGGACUCCGUAAGGGAAACAGAGGAGGUAGACAAUUAUUGGGAGGGAAUUUGGACAACUAGUGUGAGAAAAUUCAGUAUGACACUUUGGAGAGCUAGAUGGUCCAAAAUAUCUAUGAGGGCAGAUUGGGCGGGUAGAAUGGGAGGAGAUGCCACGGAUUGCAUUUUAUGUGGGGGACCAUGGGAGUCACAAGACCAUGUGUUCUUUAAAUGCAGAUUCUCUAAGAACUUGUGGAAUUAUAUAUCUGCAAAACCCCGUUUGAUUACAUGUGCAGGUCUAUUUUUAAAACAGGUCAUGGAUGAAGCACAAGCAAGAACAAAGAACUCAAUAUGUUGGGGAAUGACUUGGGCUUACAUUGCUGCAGUGGUGUGUGGAAUAUGGACAGAAAGGAACAGGAGGGUUCAUGAGGAUAGACGGACCAGGCCACAAGAGAUUGGGAGAAGACUAGUGGAAGAUAUCACCUCAACAUUCAUGCCGAGCAGGUACAAGGCAAUAGGGACACCUCAGGAACAAAGGAUGGCACAAGGCUGGAAUGGCGGGGGGGGAAAUGCCCCAAGUUAAUUGCUAUUUUACUUCUGUUGUAUUUAAUUAAACUGCUUGUUGCAACUUAAAUUUGGUAGGAACAAUAAUAACAUGUAAUUGGUAGGCUAGCGAUAGGGGGGGUUCAAUUAAAAAUAGAACCCAAACCUAUCAACGGCAAAGGUCUAGCAUGUAUGGUAAAUGGACUGAUCUAAAAUCAUGUCCAAUAGGAACCCCUGCCCCAAUAGGGACAAGGACCUUCCUAAGUCUUAGUAGAAGCGAUAUGUGGAAUCACUUACAAAUUAGUGGACCGAAAGGUGAUGGCAGAGUUUUCCCUUGGAAAAGGAAAAGAGGCCAUGGGCACACCAGGGUUUUUACACUCCCCAUUGUCCAAGGCCCACUAUGUGAGAACGAGGAGGCAUAGAUCGUUCUAGGAAUCAUUGAGUCAGUCCCCAAAGGCUUGGAAGAUUAGGCGAUCGUAAGAUCAAAUAAUUGGAUAAGCGCGGAGGGCGUGAGGUGGACCGCUUGUGGUCGCACCUCUUUUUGUUAAGAUCUUUUAUAUUAUCAGUGAUUUUAACUCAAAAAAAUUGGCUGCCACAAUUCACAAGCCCAUUCCCAACUUUUCCAUCCAAGAGAGAGUGAGAGAGGGCGAUCUUGAGGGCGAUUUUUAGGCGACCUACUCUUUUGUUUGCUGUUUUGCAGGUCUUGGAGCAUCUAGGCAGGAAGUAGGGGUGCAAUCUAGGUGGAGAGAGAAGAAAAUUUUGGAUUCUAGUGCUAGAAACCUAGGAUUUUCAAAAAGAUUCCUUAAAACUAGGUACUUUUAUUACUACUUUUUCUUCCAACCCCUACUGUUUUGCAGGCCAUGGGGGAGACCUCCAUGGAGGUUGAUGAAGGUCCAGAGUGGAUGGUGGUCGGAGGGAGCAAGGCUGGCCGGUCGGAUGGAAAAUCUGGCCGGAUAGAAAGACUUAGCGGCAACAAUAAUGGAGGUGCUCCAUUUUCUGGAAGAAGAGGAGGUCGGGGAGGCUACCAAAGGAGCUCCAGACCAGUUCAAGGCAACCCACAACCCAACCAGACCUCGCCGGAGGAGAAACAAAGGUUAGUGGACAGGUACAAAUGGGCUAAACUAGCCGGUGAUGAUUAUUUGCCAAAGGCGAUGGAUUUGUGUGACUUGGAAAGAAGGGAGAGGGUGAGAAACGGAAUGGGGUCACCUGAGGACCUCACUGCCAUGAAAGAACAGAGGAAAGCUCAUGCUGAGGUGAGGAGAAACUCAAUUAAAGCUGGAGAUGGUAUGCUAUCACCAACAACAAAUGCGAUGGAAAUUGCAAGGAGGGCUAGAGCUAGAGCGGGCAAAGCAACAAAAGAAGAUUUGGAGCUUUUGGAAAAACAGAGGAAAUUGAAAGCAGAGCAUCUGAAGAAUGAAAGAGCUCUGAAUGAAGCCACCUUGGGUCCAAUAAUUGACAAGGAGGACUUGGAGAGAAGGAGAAGGAUCAAGGAAGGCAAUGCCACACCCGAUGACAUGCAAUUGGUGGAAAAUCAAAGAAAAUUGAACUUGGGGAAAAAUUCAACACCACUGGCCGGAGGAGGUGCUAGGAGCUUUGCAUCCCUACUGAAACCAGCCCCCACAUUGCCGGAGGGAGUUACAACAAAAUUGAGCUAUGUGGAGCCAACAACAAGGAAUGGAAGGAGGGGAGCGAUGAUCAAACAAGAUUUGAUCAAGAAAAUUGAGGAGAAAUUUGCUGGAACACUACUGAUCAGGAGGCUCACUGAUGAGAAGAUUGACCCAAGGUAUGCCAAGAAUUUUGUUAAAUAUUGUUGGGGAGUGGAGGGAAACAUGUUUAAUAUCUAAAUUAGAAGAUCGGGUGUGAUCCUCAUACAAUUCCGGAGAAGGGAAGAUUAUCUAAAAGUGAGGCAGUCCGGGGACACAUGGAUGAAUGGAGUGUACACAAUUGUGAUGAGCUGGGUGGAAGGAAGAUCAAUUGAAAAUGAGAUCAUCACAAGCUUGCCGGUAUGGAUCCACCUACCGGAAUUCCCAAUGCACCUAUGGUGCCCGGAGGUAUUUUCAGCAAUUGGGAGUGUUCUAGGUACUCCGGUGAAGGCAGAUGCUCACACAACAAAGGGGCCCAAUCCAAAUGGUCCUAGGCUACUGAUCACAAUGAAGACAGAUGGCCAAUUCCCACUAGAAGUCCCAAUUUACAUGACCGGAGAGGAUGGCAAUGACACCGACGACAUCAUCAAAAUUGCAUAUGUAAAAAUGCCAAUUGUAUGCAACAAAUGCAAAGGAUUUGGACACACUCAAGAAGCAUGCAGAGGGCUGGAAUCAGGGUAUGAAAAAAAUAAAAAAUUUAUACCUAACAAAAAUUCUCAGGUGAUCACCGGAGAAGAUGACCAAAAGGUGGUGGAAAUAUUGAGUGGAGAAGAAGAUCAAGUGGAGAAGAAGGGUGAGCUGGAAUCCAUGAACGUGGGUGGCACAGGGAAGGAUAAUGAGCUGGAGGUAGAGGGGGAGAAGGAAGAGGGUGAGAUCACCAAUGAAAAAAUGGUUAAUGAUAAGCAAAUGAAGAAUCAAGACAAAGUAGUGUUGAAAAUGAGGAAGCUUAGCAAAAGAUCAAAGAAAAAGAAGAAAUUAAUCAAAGCUAGGAAGGGAGUAGACUUGUGGAAGCUGGCAAGUCAGAGGAUAGGAAGAUAUGUAAGGGAUUUGGCAAGUACAAGGCGUGGGAAACAAAAUGAAGAGAAAGUACUAGCGGGUGGUGACCUCACCCCGGGUGGAGGUAAGAAUAGUGUUACCUACACUAACAAUGGAAUAACAUGUGAUAUAGGUGACAUUGCUAAUACAAUGGGAAAAAUUCCAUAAGGAGGAAACCCACAUCUACACGCCAAUGACUCAAUAGAAGAUGAGGAGGAGAAUAGAGCCGUUGGGAAGGAGGCAAGUACAACAUGUGACCAACUAGAUGGGCAAAGAGAAGAAAGAGAAGGACAAGGACAAGGGGAAGAAGUGCACAACUCCCAAAUGAACAAGAGUGGGUCUACAAACCCUAAGAUGAUGGCUGACAUCACAAUGGAGGUACAAGGAGAGUCACCCAAAGAUGCUUGUACGGACAAGCCAAAAUACUUCUUCCAAACCCUAGCGGCGGAUCUAAUGGAGAAAGGUGCACCCAAAGACAUCCGUAGGAUCAACAUAUAUGAUCAGCCAGGAUCCUCCCUUGGGGAAAAAAUAAAGAAGCUAGACUUGAAGGACCGGAUCAUAAAAGAGAAGGUCAAAACUAGGAAUGAAAACAUUAGAAAGGGAUAUUUGCCCACACAAAAGGCAAUACUGCCCUUUUGCAAAGGCUAUGAUGGGACCAAAUUCCAGGGGGCAAUUGAGGGAUUUGAGGGUGAAUAUAUAUCAAAAAACACUCUUCCAAACUUCACAUUCCAUGAGUUGGCCGACCAAGAGGAGAGGGAGAAUGGAGACUCACAACCAAGCAUCCAACAACCAUUGGAACCCACUGCCCAAGCUGAGGCCACCACUUCACCCAUCACACACACUGAGAGUGACAACAAUAUGGAGGAUAAAAUCAGUGGGAGAACUAGAAGUGGAGGCAAAGGGAAGGUGUUGAAGAAGGUGGUCGGAUAUGGUAGAAGAAGAAAGCCAAAGAGGGUUAGAGCGACUGCCCAAGUGAAUAUAGGUGCACCAAGGAAGAAGAGAAGAGAAUCACAGGAGGACAACUCUGAAUUAUCCACAUAUGAGUGCCCACCCAUCAUCGGAGAAGACAAGCUCGCCGGAGAAGACAAGCUCACCGGAGAAGACAACCAACUAUCAAUUGAGCUCAAUUGUGAAAUUCAGACCCCUCAACAACAAAAACAGGAUAAACAGAGCAAGAGCACGGGUUAUUCCAAGAGGAGGCAGGAAGGAACACAAACAAUUCCAACAAGAACCAAGAGAAUUUCCAAAAAGAAGCAAAAGGUGAUUUAAAGGAGGGCAACAGAAGAAGAGCUCCAACAAACCAAUUCAAGCAACAACAAUUCAGGUAAAAACAGGAAGGACUACUUAAUUGAACCAGGGAAUUCAAGCAAUGAAGAUGAAGGGGAAACCCAAUUGAUUGAAUCGGAUCCAAUGGAGGAGAGUGAGGAAGAUGACACGGAAGACGAGGAUUAUGUACUUGGAAGGGCAGAGUGGUCCAGGUCACCUAUGCAGGAGGAUGACAAGGGUCGAGAGGGAGACAAGGAGGAGGAAUCUACUCAAUAAUAAAAACAAAAACAUAAAGGUAGGAAGGAAGGGAGGGGGGCACAACAAGCAACAAGGAAGGUACAAGGGAGGUAACUUUAAAAUAAAAUUUUAGUAUAUAUUACUUUGUACAAAUUGUGUAAGAUAAAAUCAGGGAAUACAUCCUAGCUUGCCAUCUAGGGGAAUUAAAUAGAUUGCCAUCUAAGGAAAAUUCUAGCUUGCCAUCUAGGGAACUAGUUUGACAUCUAGGUAAAAAAGAAAUUAAAAGAGAACAAGGAAUAUAUAAACUCUGAGAGCUACUCCCAGCCCUUGGAGCAGCUCAAGAACCAUAUUAGGAACUCAGUUAGUGACCCUAGCUGGCCCCCAAAGCAAAUCUUAGAAAACCUCAAGAGCCAAUUCCAGCUCCUGGAGUUGCUCGCGAGCUGCCCUAGGACCCGAGAACUAGUCCCGAGCUGGCUCGAGAGCUACCUCCAACCCCUGGAGUUACUCGAGAGCCACAAGAGGGACUUAACUAGAGAUCCUACUAGGACCAAAAAACAGCCCUCAGAGAAUCCCAAGAACCAACUCCAGCCCCGGGAGUGGUCCGUGAGCUACUUCAAGACCCGAGAACUAGCCCCGAGCUGGCUUGCGAGCUACUUCCAGCCCCUGGAAUUACUCGAGAGCCAAUGGAGGGACAUAGCCAGAGAUCCCAAUAGGGCCCCGCAACUAGGUCUAGAGAAGCUCAAGAUCAAACUCCAACCCCUGGAGUUGCUCGAGAGCUACAUCAUGACCCGAGAGCUAGCCCCGAACUGGCUCGCGACCUACAUCCAUCCCCUGGAAUUACUCGAGAGCCAGUGGAGGGACUUAGACAGAGACCAUAAUAGGACCCCACAACUAGGUCUAGAGAGGCUCAAGAUCAAACUCCAACCCCUGGAGCUGCUCGAGAGCUACACCUUGACCCGAGAGCUAGCCCCGAGCUGGUUCGCGAGCCACUUCCAGCCCCUGGAACUACUCGAGAGCCAUACGAGGGACUUACCUGGAGAGCCCAAUAGGGCCCUACAACUGCACCUAGAGAAGCCCAAGUCCCAAUCCCAGCCCCUGGAGUUGUUCGAGAGCUACCUUAUGACCCGAGAGCUAGCCCCGAGCUGGCUCGCGAGCUACUUCCAGUCCCUGGAAUGGCUCGCGAGCUACUUUCAGUCCCUGGAAUGGCUCGCGAGAGAAGUGGAGCUGGAAGCGGGGGCAUCUGCGGAGAAAGAAAUAUCGAUGAAGACCAGAGAAGACUACCUGCUCAAUCCUGAACGACACACGAGCUGCAUAUCGGACAGACUGCCUGGAGCUGUAGAUUUUGCGGAGGAAGUCGGGAAUGAUGUGGUCUCUGAUGGGGAAUAUGAGAUAGGCAGAAUUGCAUGGGACAAGCCGCCGGGAGAUACGACUAUGGGAGAGGCGGAGCAAAUUCAGGGUGAUAGUGCCCAGCUGGAGGAGUUCCGGCGAGAUCCAACCCCUGUCUAAAAGCUCUAUCCGACUUAACCACCAGGGGUGGGGUGAGUGGGGGAGGUGAGAUAAAUUUAAUUAAACCGCAAUUAGGAGAGAGUGAUUAGUCAACUAAAAGUUAAAUAAUAGUCAGCUGAUUAGGCAAGCAAAUAGAGGUUAGUAAAAAUAAUUUAACCAAUGAAUUAUGAAAUGGGGGGGAAUGUGGAAAAAUUGCAAGUUAUGAUUGGGGGGUUAUGAGAGAGAUGCAUGUGGAUAAGAAUGAUAGAAUAAAAACAAAAAUAAAAAUGCUAAAUACAAUUAAAAAAGUCUGCACAUGGGCCAAAAGGAGGGAGAGAAAAGGUAUAGACGUGGGCAAAAAUCAAUUGGGAAUAAAAACAAAAAUAAAAACUGCAAUUAAAAAUCCUUGCACAGGGGUAAUAUUUUCCAAAACCCAAACAACUUUAGUACUUAUAUGCAUGCACGUGGGUAGGGAGGGGCAACCAAAGAAAAAUGCUAGAAAUUGGCCCAAUUGCACCCAAUGGGCAAUGGUCCACAAAAUUAAAAAAUCACUAUGCAUGCACGUGGGGGGGGACCAUAUAUGAAAAAUUAAAUAAAAAAUAAUGAUAUACAUAGAUAAGCAAGUGGAGGGUGCAUUUAGAAAUCUAUAGUGUGAAUGGGUCAAAUCAACUCUUUAGAGUUGGUCAAGACUAAACCCCACACAAAAAUGGAGAUGGGCCUAGGGUAGAUAGAAAUGCAAGGGGGCAAAGGCAAAAACUUAAGAGAUCUAGGCAAAUUGGUAAAUCUCAAUCUCAAAUUUGGAUCAAGGAGAGUCAACAAAUAGGGAACUGGAUUUUGACCAACAUGGAAAAUGGUCAACAAGGCCCCAUCUCCCAAUUACACCCAAUUUUGACUUCCGCCAACAGUCAAAAUAGCCAACCACCGAUUUUGACUAAAAACUCAAAUGUGACCAAAAGUCAAAACCCCCGGAUUUGGACCAAAACCCGAAAUGGUCUCAACAUAACCUGGCUAGCUGUGACAGAUGACAAGGUGGGAAGGUGGUUAAAUCACCCAAAACUUAACCAAGAUUAGUCCAAGAUGUCGUUUGGAAGCUGGAAUGUCUACGGACUAAACAUUGACAUAAGGAAGGAUGAGGUAAAGAGAUUUGUUAAGAAGUAUAAGUUGGACAUCUUUGGUCUAUACGAGACCAAGAUUAUGAAACGUAACUUUACACACUGUAGUAAGAUAUUCGGGCAGAAUUUUUCAGUGAUAUCAAACAGGACCGAUGACACAAACCAAAAGCCGGAUUCUAUCUGGCUAGUAUGGGAUGUAAGGAACUGGGAGAUUGAGAGCACCAUUCUGGACGAACACUAUAUACAUUGCGUAGCAAAGAACAAAGGGGGUUUUACAGUUCAUGUAACCUUUGUGCACGGGGCGUCAGAGAGCAACGAGAGGGAAGAGACGUCAGAGGCACGUCUGACCACCGUAGCUUGACCAUCGACCUCAGGGUAGUUGAAGAGGGUGGUGAGACAUGCCUGAGUUACACAAGUCACUACCCAUCAACGCCUCUCAACAAGGACUAGGGCUCCCUCGCUAUGGCAGGACCCCCGGAGAGCUCCCACGGUGCGGAACAUCGUUCUUCGUCCAGAUCGCCGAGUUAGCCCGUAAAAUCGCCCGAUUGGACUACCAAGUCGCCGACAUACAGGAUAACUCGCCGAGUUAAGGCAAGAUCGACAGUAUGGUAGACUGUACAUCUUGGCCCUAGAAACUCGCCGAGUUAGCCCUUAACUAGGCGACUUCCAUAAAUGAAUCAGCGACUUACGACCGUUACUCGGCGGCAGCCAACGUCAUAAAUGUUACCAUAUAUGACCAUAGGCGCGAUCUCCGCCGAUGAGUGCGCCCUCCGAGACCCUAUAAAAGGGGUCUCAAGGGGACACUCAAAGACACGAUUCAAGUUCCACUCUCACACCAGAGCACUACACUACGAAACUCGGCGAGUCUCAUUAGAAUCGCCUAGUUUCACUUGCAGGUAUUUUGACGUAGAGCGUGCGUCGUGGACUCCAAAGCCUCCGGCAUCAACCUCGCACCACCGCGAGCCCUGGUAGCAGAUUCAGUGCUUCAUCAGAGGGGAAGAGGCCUUUCAGAUUCACAAACUCAUGGCUAAGGAAGGAUGAGCUAAAAGGGGUAGUCAGGGAUGCUUGGCAAAUCGAGGUAUGGGGGACCCCGAUGUACAUCUUCACUAGGAGGCUGAACAAUGUGAAGAGGAUACUCAAGAGAUGGAAGACAUCAGAGGAUCAAGCAAAGAAGAGAAUCGCCCAAGCAAAGGCAGAAAUCCAAAAAAACGAGGACUUGUUGGAGGUAAGUCCAUUUGAUGAGGAUAUCCAUGUGAGGCUGGACGGAUGCCUUAAGGAUCUAGAAGGCCUGCUACAGGUGCAGGAGGAAGAUGCGAGGCAGAGGAGCAGGGCAAAUUGGUUGCGACUAGGGGGAUAAGAAUACAAAAUUCUUUGCGGCCAUGACAAGGCAAAGACAAACCCUAAAUUCCCUGUACAAAAUGUUAGGACCAAAUGGUAGGGUGGUGGUAUCUAGGAGUGAAAUGGAGGCAAAAACGCCGGAACACUUCCAGAUACUAUUUGCUGAGGGGGAGGAGACCUUAAGUACCGAAACCAGAAACUUCGUUAAAAAGGUUACGACCGAACAAAAUGCGGAAUUAGAGAGGAUCCCAACGUACGGUGAGAUUAAGAAAGUAGUUAUGGCGCUAAACCCAGACAAAAGCCCUGGUCCAGAUGGUUUCAACGGUGCCUUCUUUAAGGCCUUUUGGGACAUCAUAGACAAGGACCUAGUCAAAGCCAUACAAUCUAUCUUUCUAGGAGAACCCCUCCUGAGACAAGUAAACGCUACGUUCAUUACCUUGGUCCCGAAAACCAAGAAUCCCACAAGGUUGGAUCAGUUUAGGCCCAUAUCUUGCAUAAACACAACGUACAAGAUCCUUUCAAAAGUCUUAACGAACAGGGUGGUGCCAGUUGCAGAUACCUUGAUUGACAGCAAUCAAACCGCCUUCCUACCAGGAAGGCUGAUUGGGGACAAUUACCUACUAGCAACGGAAAUGGUUACGGGAUUCGGUAGGGCAAGUGGGGGAGCAAACGCAGCCAUAAAAGUGGACCUUGCAAAAGCAUUUGAUACGUGCGGCUGGCAGGCGAUAGAGGACACUCUUAGGGACAUGGGAUUCAGUGAAAUGAUCAUCAGGAUCAUAAUGAUGUGUGUGACCACA
rnacentral:lncRNA from 1 species